UAUGUAUUAACCUCUCACAAUUGAAUUAUUAUUAUUAUUAAAAUAUCAUUUUGCACACCUUAAAUAUAAGUUAAAUAAAAUUCAAUCUUUGUUAAUAUAACAUCAGUAGAGUUUGAGAAAAGCAAUGUUAGAUGCUGGAACACACAAGGUUCCAGCCCUCAUUUUAAUUUAGUGGAGCUGAUAACUGCAGCAGCUUGAUGACGAAAUCUCGACUCAUCAAAAUCAGCUAAGUCAUAGCUCGACAGAUCAAGGAGGAUACAUUUUGGUGAAAAUGCACCGCAAAUCUGCUUCCAAAGUCUGUUUGGAGAGUGAUGCUCUCACGUCAGCUUGUGUUCUAUUCGAUUAAUUCAAUCGGUACUGCUGUCUACUUUACAUCAAUAGAGAUAUCAGGUAACUCUAUCGUCCGAAACUUAGAUCUCUAUGUGAGGCUCAGGCAGUAGAGAAUAUUACAAAUAUUUUUCCUGAUGUCUCUUUGAUCUUUCGAUGAAGGAACAUCAUGAGUCUGAAAUAAGAUAUUUUCGAACUCUGUAAAACAGAUUUUUAUGUUUCCGAACUUAAAGUAGAGUGUUGUACGUUUGUGUUAUGAUGUCUAUGUGAAAGAGUUGAGUGCAAUACAAUGUCUUUAGCGAUGAAACAUAUCGUCUGAUUGUUUCAAAGAUUCAACAUUAUGUCCGACUUUUGUUUAUCAGUCGAAUUUAUAUCUACAUGCCAGAGACAAAUGAAAGCAAACUAUGAUUUGAGUCUGAAAGGAAGAAAAGUCAUGUUUUUAUUCAUAGGAUAACAAAUACAUUACGAAAACAUCACAGACUAUGAAAGAUAAA